CCUACGGGACGCAGCAGUGAGGAAUAUUGGUCAAUGGCCGUAAGGCUGAACCAGCCAAGUAGCGUGCUUUACUACUGCCCUAUGUGUUGUAAACCUCUUUUAUGCGGGGAUAAAGGUGUCCACGUGUGGAUGUUUGCAGGUACCGCAUGAAUAAGGACCGGCUAAUUCCGUGCCAGCAGCCGCGGUAAUACGGAAGGUCCGGGCGUUAUCCGGAUUUAUUGGGUUUAAAGGGAGCGUAGGCCGGUCUUUAAGCGUGCCGUGAAAUUUUGUGGCUCAACCAUGAGAGUGCUGCGCGAACUGGAGAC
rnacentral:rRNA from 1 species